UCCGGAGAGAGGAGGAUGUGGAGCCGGUGUCGGUGUGUCCUGAGUCUAUCUGCUGUCAGGAGGCUGACCUGGACCAUGCCAUGCGUGGUGAAGCAUGUUUAACAAAUGUUCGCACACUUGUGUGCCGCGGAACAGCGGCUGGGAAUCACUGGAUUGGAGCACAUUGGAUUGGGGCGAAUCUGUUUUGGCUUGAUGUAAAUCCUGUCCGCUGGCCUCUCUGGCUUUUCGUCUGAGAUUUACAGCUUGACCAUUUAUUUACUGAUAAACACCACUUCACCUAAGAGACUUGAGUAUCCAGUUCUUCAUUGACCUUCAGCAUUCAGUUGUUUGUCUUCACCUUUUCAGGUAAGUAAUUUCAAAAAAAUGCUUCUGUAAUGUUGAGAAACACUGAAAUUAUUAUUUAUAAAGAACUUUCAACCACUGUUCUGUUCUGUGAUGUCAUGUAUAGUGAUAUACAAAUAUAUUUGAAGGAACGGUGUAUUUGGGAUAAUCAAUAUUAUUAGUAUUAUUCGUGUAUUUAUUUAUUUUUAAAUCAGAGAAUGGGGGGAAAAUAGAUUCUUAGUACAAAAACUAGUAACUAGUAAAAAAAAAUUGGUAACAAUAAUGUUCAUUCAUUAAUUGACACUUGGUCAAACCCUCAUCUAAUUAAAUAUUGCUGUCUCAUUAACAUGUUGUA